rnacentral:rRNA from 1 species
ACGGAGGGUGCAAGCGUUGCUCGGAUUUACUGGGCGUAAAGAGCACGUAGGCGGCUCGGUAAGUCUGAUGUGAAAGCCCACGACUCAAUCGUGGAAGUGCAUUGGAUACUGCCAGGCUAGAAUGCAGGAGGGGUAAGCGGAAUUCCAGGUGUAGAGGUGAAAUUCGUAGAUAUCUGGAGGAACAACGGCGGCGAAGGCGGCUUACUGGACUGAUAUUGACGCUGAGGUGCGAAAGUGUGGGGAGCAAACGGG